rnacentral:lncRNA from 1 species
UUUAGCUGGUUGAGAAAGAACAAGAGCUGCCCGCUUACUUCAGCUGGAUUCUAAACUAAGCUUUGAUUCUUUGGGAACCAUAACAUUGAGCAAAUUCCAUAUCUGAACUUGCAUUUUCUCCUUUCCGAAGCCAUCUUUUAUACUCUUGCCUCCUUCGUUGGUAGGUAAGUUACUACUUUGUUGGAGCAUUUAAGGGACAAGAAGAAGAGGUUGUUAAUCUAUUUAUAUUGGAAGGAUUUUGAGCUAAAAGAUGUAGAUUGCUUUCCUUUAUGAAGUUGGAUUUUAAUUACAAUCAUUAUCCAAAGAUCGAUGAGCAAAACUGAGAAACAAGAGAAAGCAAAAAUAGAAAAAGAAAGCUUACAAACAGACCUAAAUUAACAUAAGCUAAUAUCUUCUACGCUGUGUUCCCCUUCUUGUUGCUGGCUACUUGGGGGAUGAUCAGCAUAAGAAACCGAAGUUGCCAUUGUCGAAGUUGAGAGCAUAACUGAAAGGAUCGUAGUGGAAGCUAAACCUCUGCUUGGAUGUCCUAGCCUUCACUUGUCUCCUUAUCUCGGCUCUAACUCUCCAAAACAAGCUCCUAAACUUCCUCUUCCCACACAAAACCACCACAUUUGGAUCAAAACGGAAUCCAAUGACCCCCAUGUCUCUUUCUCUCUCAAGAAACCCAGCAAGAAACUGCAAAUGUAACGAGACAGAGAGCAAGGAACGCAUAUAUGAAGUGUAGGGUAGGAGAGAGAGUUAGCUUGGAGUACAAGCCUACAGGGUGUCUGCUACCUGCUACCUUUUGGAUCAGUUCAACUUAGCUUCUCAAAAGCAAAAGUGUUGGAGCAGUAACCGAGGCAAGAGCUCUUUCUCUCUAACUCUUUUUUCGCUGUAUGACUGUAUCCACUGUCCUGUCGCUGCUAAGAAAGCCUACGGCGCUGUCUGUCUCUGUCUCUGUCUCUGGUCUUGUAUACUAGGGGAGGGAAGUUGGGGGAUAGAUUUAUGGGUUGGUCACAUGGGCUGGAGACAGAGACUUGAGAGAGACUUUUAAAUGGAGAGUAGAUG